rnacentral:lncRNA from 1 species
CACCUCCUGAAAAACUCAGGGGCCCAGAGUCUGAGGAGUAUGAAGAAACAGGGCAGCCCCAGGGAAGACGAGGGGGGCCCAUGAAACAAAGCAAGUCGGCAUGACCAAGUUGAAACGUCGCUUCAUUUUCCAAGCUUGCAGCAAAUAUCCGUUACUAUCGCCAAAGGAGGAGAAGCUAAAUGCAAGUUUGGGAGGUUAUAAGGAAGGUAAUUUUCUUAUCUGAUUCUUCUCUCAAGAAGAUAAUUCUGGUAAUAUGGAGCUUGAAUGCAAAGCAAUAGACAAGAAACUCCCUUCCAAGGAUGAGGCCUCUUCCACAUUCGGCUUUCGUCUGAUUUAACAGCUCAAUUUCUUCAUCCUGCCACCUCCCUCAUGGUUUUUAUGAGACCUGGGAACUAUUAAAGAAUGCCAAAU